GAUGGGGGGCAAGUGUUCUUCGGAAUGACUGGGUGUAAAGGGCACGUAGGCGGUGAAUCGGGUUGAAAGUGAAAGUCGCCAAAAAGUGGCGGAAUGCUCUAGAAAUCAAUUCACUUGAGUGAGACAGAGGAGAGUGGAAUUUCGUGUGUAGGGGUGAAAUCCGUAGAUCUACGAAGGAACGCCAAAAGCGAAGGCAGCUCUCUGGGUCCCUACCGAUGCUGGGGUGCGAAAGGAUGGGAGCGAACAUG
rnacentral:rRNA from 1 species